CAUUCUUGGAAUAAAUGAGAGAUCUUGCCAUUUGAGCUUUUUGGGUCCGUGUGUCAUUUGGCGAAUUCUCCCAAGCGCUUGGUGUGGGAAGUGUGUAGCGAGGCAAAGGCGGCAUCUUUCUUGUGUAUUUUCACUUUCUCUCUUCUUAAGAAUUGUAACCCGGAGAUUCUCUAGUUUCAGUUCCUAACAGUUUUCUGGGGGCUCGUCCCGGGAUACCUACUGAGAGAAACCACCUCCCCUUUUCCCCAGGUGAUACAAUACUAGAAAAGCCUCAACCCUAGGAAGGAUUGAAAAGCCGCCUUUGGACCUCACAACAGUGAUAGCCAUUGCUCACAUGGCCAUACUGGCUCUCAACCCCAGUGGAUUCACGGCAGUGGACGGAAACGGUGUCUGAUCAGAACCAGCUCACUCGAGAAAAGAGAAUUCACAAUCAAGAAGCCCUUAGGGGGCCUCUUCUCGUCUCACCUUAGCACAUACACAUAUAGAUUUUAUUGUAUUAGCCUUGAUAGCACAUACAUGUAUAAACAAGGACUCAUGCCCUAUCUGGAGGGAGCAUGUGAAUGAUGGGAGCUGUCAUAGGCUCAUGGAUAAUUGGGCGUUCCUCGCCGCUUAUGGGGAGAGUGUGUGCAGGUCUCAUUGGUACCUAAGAGGGCAUUGAUAAGUUUACUGUGAACACUCUCCCCUCCCUCUGAACACCCCCCCUCUCUGUGUUGGGACCUGUGUUGAGGCGAGGGCGCUGUCUUUCUUGUGUAUUUUCACCUUCUAUCUUCUUAAGAAUCGUAACCCGGAGAUUCUCUAGUUGCAAAUCCUAACAGAAAAUGUCAAAGAGUUCAAGAUUUUUGCUGCAUUGCAGCAUUCAUUAACACAAUCGUCUGUCUGGUAUGAGACACCACUAAGCCACUUUGUUUUUAAUUAGGCUUUCCACUAAUGGCCACAUCCACUUUGGCUUGUCAUGUUGAACUCCAAUCACUUGGAAAAAAAAGCAACAUUUUAAGGCACUAAGCCAGCUUUAUAAAACACUUCUGUUUCUCCUGCAUGUCAAAAAGAUUUUUAAAGGUAAAGGUGGGGUUACUUGAUCAUUGUUGUGAUUAGCUGGGAGAAGGUGAGUGUGGGGUUACCUGAUCAGUGGUUGGUGUAGAGCCACUAAAGAGGCGUGGACAGUGACGGAGAUGACAGACAGGUGGAAGUAGUCGAACAUGACGGGAAGGUGGUGGUGCAGG